rnacentral:lncRNA from 1 species
UCUUCUUCGCUUAUAAAUAAGGAAGCUUGGUCUUACGAAUAAUAUACGAAAACAUACGAAAACAUUAGCUUAGAGCUUUUGGUUUGCAAACACUAAGAGAGCACUAUAGUUUCAAUCGGAGAUUUCCUAGCUGUCAACGAUUGAAUCGUGCACUUGGAAUAGUUCCUGCAUCGAAUCGACAUACACGUGGAUACCUUAGUAGUGGAUUCACGGCAAGGAUCAAGACGCACGUUUACCACACAACGAGUAAGUUAUUCUUAUUGUUGUGUGCCUAUCUCUACACAUGAUGCAUUUGUAAAUCUAGAUCUAAUCCUUGAAUGUAUAUUCCGCUGCGUAUCAUUAGAUGAUGUCAAGGAUAACCAACAGUUCAGUGCAGUGCAUUUGGGGGAUUUGAAGAUGUUUGAACUUUGAAGUCAUGUUGAAAUGGAUUCAUCUAUCAUUUAUCAUUUUACUGUUUAUAAUUGUAACUCUCCUCUACAUAUCGCUGCCGCCAAUGGCCAGAUCGAGGUGGGAAUCUUGCAAAUGUCUUACUUUAUUUUGCUCAAUUUUAGUUUUAGUUGUUUUGUUUUUCCCCCUUUUUUGGGUUCUUGGUGUAUGUUUUGUGAAUUUGGGAUUUCUGAUUUGUGGGAUUCAUAUUCUCCCAUUGCUUUGAGAAAUCAUAA